AGAAUCAACGCUGGCGGCGUGCCUCAGACAUGCAAGUCGAACGCGAAAGUCCCCUUCGGGGAUGAUUAGAGUGGCGCACGGGUGAGUAACACGUAGGUAAUCUACCUUCGAGUGGGGAAUAACUCAGGGAACUUGAGCUAAUACCGCAUAAUGCAGCGGCACCACAUGGUGACAGUUGUUAAAGCAUUUAUGCGCUUGAAGAGGAGCCUGCGGCAGAUUAGCUAGUUGGUAAGGUAAUGGCUUACCAAGGCUACGAUCU
rnacentral:rRNA from 1 species